ensembl:antisense
GUUUCGAUUGCACAGAGUGCCCUGGAAGAUUUGCCCAAGGAUCUCUGUUACCUUGGCGUGAGGCUGACACUUGGGCUUGGAGCUCAUCAUGUAAUGAGAUGUGGGACAUUGAAGUUCAGAAGAUAAAUUGCCUAAGAAGCUGUAACGAGUAUCAGAGGUGGAAUGUGAACACCAAUGAGUCAGACUCUACAGGGCACCACCAAACCUGUCUGGGUACCAUCAUCUCAGGGUAGCAUCUAGAAAAACAGACUCCUGGUCAUAGGUCAGACAGGUCCUGUUGUCGAUCAGGAGUAAGCAGGUUCUCUGGAGGUGGAGCCCAGCAGCUAGUGUUCUGAUGCCUGUGGGCCACCAUUCUUCAUGUAGGCAGCUUUUCUAAUAGCUUUAGCCAAUGGUGCUAAUUAACUGUUCAUAACUUUAUUCAUCCUAAUGGGAAAUCCUGAUGAAGAAAUUGCCACAUGCUGUGUGUCGCACCAAGAAGUUCAUGUAUAUUAAGCAAGUGGAUUUUCACUACUCUCCUAUGCAUCUAGCCAUGUGCAUAUCAUGAUAUCUGCCUGGCAGAAGAGGAGACAGAAGAACUAAAAAACUUUUUACCUCCACAGCAUUGUUAUACAAGCUAACUUUUGGAUCAACCUUAAUUUUUUUUUUUUUUAAAUGCCCAUUCAGUUGACUGGCCCAGCAGACUCACUUCAGUGACGAAUUUCCAAUAGACUCUUGGACAUUCUCAGCAACCUCCUGGUUUGGAAGGGGAUGUGCAUCUGAGGCUUCUUUUUCUGUAUCUACAGUCAGUGUAGAAUCUAAAAAUCCCCAAACAAACAGUAAAAGUCACAUUAUGGUCAAUGACACAGAGACAACUGACGCUUAUACAAACAACACUGAACAAUGGAACUCUCAAUGAGCAGGAUGUCUCCCCACUCUCCCAUGAGCACAUCAUUGAGAUUCCUCACAAUAAGAUCCUGGCUUGCCACUAACAAAGAAGGCAGUGUCUGCAGAGUGCAUACUCCCUAGGAGCUGGCUGGAUGUUGUGAGCAGAAGGACCAGAUGGAGCUGUCACCAUGCCGUGUUACCAAGAGGCCAAACCAUCUGCCUCUAUCUUUACUUACUGAACAAAAAAUGAUUUUCAACAUAUUCAUUACUGUGAAAAGUGCAUUUCUUCAUUCGAAUAUGUAUCUUUAAGAAACAGAUGCAAUAUGAAACAAAAUUAAAUAUGACUGGGAAGGCAAAUAGCUAUAAAGCUGCUUAAAGACUGUCUUGAAAGCCUGUUGUCCUUUCGAGGAGUGGACUGGGCUUUCUCCAGAGUGGUGAGCUUGACCACUCAGGGCCAUCAGCUCAGGAUCACUGAUCUCUCCUCACCACAAUCACAAGUUGGUUUUCUAGCCCUGAUCUUUGCAAACUCUGUUUAAAAGUCCAUGCUUUUUGGACCCUGCACAAUCUGGGUAGAUAUACUGUAGUUAUAACAUUAUGCAGUAGAAAGUUCUUCUCUUUGGGCCUUCUCACUAUUCAGCUUACAGAGAAGGGCUACAUUCUAUUUCUAUUUCAGUGUCAACCCUUUCAGCUUCUCAGCACACAUCUGCUGAGAAUACAGACAUUCUCUUUUGUCUCCAGGUUCCAUUGUUAUACCCAAGAAGAGAAUGAUUCCACCAUGUCCUCUGAUAUACAGUUCCCUAAUAAAACGCAUGCAUUUCUACCGUCGAUCUGUUACAUGAUGUUCUGAUGCCAUACAGUCUCUUUUGAAUGACAACAAUUGUCCCAUCUUUUUGGUUUCAUGAUACUGACUCUGAGUAUGUAUGUGUGGUGCUGGGCACUAAACCUAAGGUCACAUGCCUGUUAGCCAAGGGUUCUAAAAUUGAACAAUGUAUGCACCAUCACUCUGCCUUGCUUGAAAAGACCAAGACAGUUAUAUUGUACAAUGUCUACUGACUGGUACACAUUUGCCAAUUAUGUUCUCUUGGUUGGAUUCAGAUUAAGGAUUUUUGACAUGAAUUCUGUAGAGUUACUACGUACAUUGCAGUCUGUGAGGAAGGCCCUCAAUGAUAGAAAGUCUUAGCUUUGAUAAAAAUUUAAUUACUUGGCUAAGGGGUAAAAUGCUGUAUCUUUGUGGGACAUGAAUAUUCAUUUCACUUGCUGUAAUUAACAAGCACAUGAAUUAUGUCGAGACCAUAUGAAUUCUCCGGUAUCAAAACCUCUCAUUCGUCCUGUGCUUAGUUUGAUUUUCCAAAUGCUUUAGGCACAAAUAAUGGAUCUGAAAUUCAACUUACAUCUUGCUCUCUUUAUAUAACUCCAACGUAUCUGUAACUUGUAGCCAACAGCAUGUUUGCUUACCUGCUGUCAUUGAGACAACAGAUGUGAGAACCAGCUACAUCCGAAGGGGUUGUAUUGGCUGUGGGUCAGUUCAGUUCAGGUGAUAGGCAUGGGAACCAUAUUAACAUCUUACCUGAGUAGAGAUCCAGAACAGCUGUCCUGGGUUCGGCCUCAUUUUUCUUCACAAAAGGAGGCAGGCUUUUGGAAAACUUCUCCAGAUAAUCAUACUUAUGGGAAAAGUCAUAAGACUUAUGUCAGAUACACACUUAUUUUAAGUAACUGUCACAGAUAUGUUAGCUAAGAUAAUGGGCAAUGGUGACCAGGCCCUGAAGGUGAGGUUGACAACUAAAUUUCUGUAAGAGACAGAGUUCUGGUUGUUGUUAACUAGUCAUGGUUUUGGGAAUUUUCUCUGAUUAGUAAUAGUAUCCUAAAUCUUCAAGAACUCCAGGACAUUGUUGACACAUGAAAGUGUUCACUUGGCUUUGCGGGUUCAGUGAGGGGCAGGCAGUUGUGUGGCUUAGGGUCAUAGGAAUGGACUCACAUGGAAGAGGAGAAUGUUCAGUGUCUGUCAGCUUCUAAGAACUUGCAGUAAGUUAAUGGUAUUUUGACAGUUGAUGGCUGAGGAAACUCUGAUGAAAUAAAACCUCAAACGAGUUUGUGGUGGUUUGAAUAUGCUUCCCUCUGGAAGUGGCACUAUUUGGACAUGUGACCUUGUUGGAGUAGGUAUGGCCAUGCUAGAGUAGGUGUGCCACUGUAGGUGUGGGCUUUAAGACCCUUCUAGCUUCCUGGAAGCUAGUCUUCUCCUGGCAGCCUUCAGCUGAAGAUGUAGAAUUCUCAGCUCCUCCUGCACCAUGCCUGCCUGAAUGCUGCCAUGUUCCCACCUUGAUGAUACUGGACUGAACCUCUAAACCUGUAAACCGUCCCCAAUUCAAUGUUGUCCU